CCUGUUUGUUCUCAGCACCCUUUAACGUUAUUCUUCAUGUAUCAGUUCAAUGAAUGCGCGGCAAAGCUGUGGCAGCUCAAGGGCGACGCCCAGGCGGCGGCCAAGGAGGAGUUCAUUGAGAUCCUGAAGCUGCUGGAGGGCGAGCUGGGGGACAAGAAGUACUUCAGCGGUGACGCCUUCGGCUUCGUCGACGUCGCGCUCGUCCCCUACGUGUGCCGGUUCUACACCUACGAGACCUGCGCCGGCUUCAGCAUCGAGGAGGCGGCGCCCAAGGUGGUGUCAUGGGGCAAAAGAUGCAUGGAGCGGGAGAGCGUGGCCAACGCACUGUCCGACCCCCACAAGAUCUACGAGGCCGUGAACGUCUACAGAAAGAGAAUUGGAAUCGAGUAGUCUACAUUAGCAGUAGUGACCGUGUUGCAUGGUGUUUGCAUGCUCUGCGUCUCAUGGCGUUGUAUUUGCUCUCUCUGUUGUCUUCUUGAAUAAUCUACCUUUCUUGGUGGUGUUAUGUGGCAGAUGCAGCAUAUCUCGUUAGAAACCAGGCACAAUUCUCUCUCUCUCGCUCUUAACAUAGAUACGCCAACAUGUGCUUCGAUGAAAGAUUAAUUAUUGAUUAUUUCUGUAUUUGAGUACUAGUACUUAUCAAAUUUACAUUGUGAUACUCAUAAUUUUAAAAAUAAAAUAAAUAAUCUAAUUUAUUCUAACAUUAUCAUAUGUAUCGAAGAAAAACAUAACAUAUGUCAUAUGUUGGAUAGAUAUAAAAAUAAUUAUUUUUUCUGUUUCCAAUAAUUUUAUCAGUAAAACGAUAAUUUUUAACAUUCCACGUGUUUAAAAAUAAAAUGAAUAUUAAAAUUAUUUUUUUAUCUAUUAUUUUUGUAUGGAUCUAAUACGUCGUGUCACAUAUUAUAUUUUUUUAUCGAAACAACUAAUGACAUUAGGAUAAAUAAAAUUAUUUAUUUUACUUUCAAAAUAUAUAAAAUAAUAUGUAAUCAACCCGAUUAAAUAUCACUUUAAUUCUACCGGUAGUUUAACUCUUCCCAUCCAAGAGGAGCUUGAGUUACGUGUAAGGAAGAGGAAGUGGACUUCCAUUAUCCUUAACUCAUCUACGAUGGCAAUUUAGUUUAGUGCAUGUUCGAGCCGGCACCAGAAAAUUUACCAAAGAGUAAUUUGGCAACCCAAUAAAGAUAAAAAAAUAAAAAAAUAAAAGAGACAAGGACACUAUAUUUAUUAUAUUUACGUGGUUUGGUCAAUUGACCUACGUUCACGGAUGGAUGAGGAACAAAACUCUACUAUAAAAGGGAUAAUUACAAAUGCCUUAGGAAAAUGUUCCUAGGCCAUAAAACACUUGAAACUACUAAACAAGAAAAGCCCAAACUAUUUUAACUAAGUGUGGACUUAAUAGAAAUUAAACCAAAAAUAAACAAUUAGGUUUUUCUUAUGGUGCAUCUGGCUUCAAAGCCCAAGCCCUUAUUUAUAGUUGCAAUAUGAGAUAAUAAGCUUGAUUUUCCCGAUGUGGGACUUACCAAACUAACAAACCUCCACCUUGGCAUGUCCCAACAUUGACAAUUAACAAAACUUGCUCCACCUUCUUCACAAAAGCUCCAACGGGCAAUCACCAAUAAUGAACACCAACCAAGUCCAAACGCUGCUUGAACUUAUAAACCGGAAGAGACUUCGUAAGCAUAUCAGCUGGAUUGUCCUUCGUAUGAAUUUUCUGAACAAGGACCUUUCCCUCAGUAAUGGUAUCCCGAAUAAAAUGAAACUUCACAUCAAUGUGUUUCGUCCUCUCAUCAUACAUAUGGUCUUUAGUCAAAUAAAUACCACUUUGAGUAAAUUGUAGUAAUACCUUGAUACAUACAUAAUUCGUCGAACAAACCUCUUAACCAUAAAACUUCUUUGAUCGCCUUUAUCACUAUCAUAUAUUUUGCUUUUGUAGUAGAUAAAGCCACGAUAAGUUAUAAGGAAGCUUUCCAAUUAACUGCACAACCGCCAACGCAAAAAACAUAGCCUGCCAAAGAUAUUCGUUUAUCAAGAUCCGCAGCAUAAUCAAAGUGAUGAAACCAACCAAAGUGUCAUGAUUUUUUCCAAACUCCAAACAAGCAUCUGAAGUCCCUUGCAAGUAUCUAAGAAUCCACUUCACAACCUACCAAUGUGUUUUACUCGGGUGAGACAUAUAUCUGCUAACCACACUGAUUGCUUGUGAAAUAUCUGGAUGAGUACAAACCAUUGCAUACAUAAUACUGCCGAUGGCACCGGAAUAUGGAACUUUCACCAUAUAUUCUUCCUCUUCAACUGACUGUGGUGAUUGAGCAGUAGAUAGCCAAAAAUGGCUAGCAAGAGAAGUACUCACUGGCUUAGCAUUUUUCAUGUCAAACCUCUCCAAGACUUUCUCGAGGUAAUUUUUGUAUGUUAGAAAUAAUUUUUCGACUCCUCGUUCUCUUUUGAUCUCCAUGCCAAGAAUUUUCUUAACUGCUCUCAAAUCUUUCAAUUCAAAUUCACUACUCAGCUGCAUUUUCAAAGUAUGAAUUUCUGAUAAAUUCUUAGCUGCAAUAAGCAUGUCAUCAACAUAAAGCAACAAAUACACAAAAGAGCUAUCAGUUAACUUCCGGAAGUAGACACAGCUAUCAUACAUGCUCCUCGUGUAACCAUGACACAACAUAAAAGUAUCAAACCUCAUAUACCACUGUCUUGGAGACAGCUUCAAUCCGUACAAUGAUUUCUUUAACAAGUAAACAUGGUCUUCGUUACCGUCAACUUCGAAUCCAUGAGGUUGCUCCAUGUAAAUUUGUUCUUCAAGUUCACAAUGUAAAAAAGUUAUCUUGACAUCAAGUUGCUCAAAUUCCAAAUCAUACAUGGCAACUAAAGCAAGCAAAACACUAAUAGAGCUAUGUUUAACAACAUGUGAAAAUACAUCAUUAAAAUCAACACCAUGUACCUGACUAUAGCCCUUUACAACUAAUCGUGCUUUGUACCUUGCAUCUUCAACCUCUGGAAUACCUUCCUUCCUUUUGAAGACCCAUUUGCAUCCAACAAUUUUCUUACCUGAAGGCGGCUUCACAAGAUCCCAAGUUCUAUUCUGAUGGAGAGAUUCAAUUUCUCCAUUCAUCGCAAUCAACCACUUAGUAGAAUUAUCACAAGAAACUGCAUCUGAGUAGGUAGUAGGCUUACCAACUUCACUUAUUUCUUCUGCAACAGACAAAGCAUAUGCAACCAAAUUUGCAUAUCUUUGUGGUGGUCGAAUAUCUCUCCGUGGUCUAUCCUUGCUAUGGAAUAUUGCUCGUCCUCUAGAUCAUCUUCGUCAGUAGACUCGGGAUCAUCUACUAGCAUUCUUUGAGUAGAAGAGUUCGACUAAAAAGAAUCAGAACUACCAAUCUCGAGCUUCACUUGCUUCUGCGCACUAUCAUUUGUAUAAUUAGUAGAUUCCUCUUUGGAAAAUAACAUAGACAAUUCAUUAAAAGUAACAUCUCUACUUAUUAUAAAUUUUGGGGAUUUGAUAUCAGAACACCAUAAUCUGUAUCCUUUCACCCUAGAAGCAUACCCAAGGAAAAUGCACUUUUUAGCUCGAGGCUCUAAUUUUCCUUCAUUUACAUGCAUGUAUGCUAGACACCCAAAAACUUUUAAAUCAGAUUAAUCAGCAAGAGUACCUGACCAAACUUCCUCCGGAGUUUUAAAAUUAAGUGCUGCAGAAGGAGCGCGGUUGACAACGUAACAUGUCAUAUUAAUCGCCUCUGCCCAAAAGUACAUUAUCAACACUGCAUUUGAGAUCAUACACCUUGCUCUCUCCAAAAGUGUUCUAUUCAUACGUUCAGCCACACCAUUUUGCUGAGGCAUCAUCCUAAUAGUGCGAUGCCAAACAAUUCCUUCAUUUUUGCAGAAUUCAUCAAAGUCACCUUCACAAAAUUCCAUGUCAUUAUCUGUUCGAAGCCACUUAAUUUGUUUACAUGUUUGCUUCUCAAUCAAAGUCUUCCAUUGUUUAUAAAGGUUAGAAAAAUAUUAUUUUUAUGCUUUAGAAAAUAAACCCAAACUUUCCUAGAAUAAUCGUCAAUGAAAGUCAACAUAUACCUGGCACCACCCUUAAACUGAACAUGAGUUGGACCCCAAAGGUCUGAAUGAAUAUAGUCGAGAGUACUUUCGUUUUGUGAACUACUGGAGAAUUGAAGCUGACUCUUUUCUGCUUUCCAAAAAUAUAGUGUUCACAAAAAUCCAGUGGCCUAGUACUCUGUCCAUAAAGAAGACCCAUUUUGCUUAAUAUGCUCAAAUCUUUUUCGCUCAUAUGACCCAAACGCAUAUGCCAUAAUUUGGUGAUGUCAGAAUCAGACAAUGAUGAUGAUGAGAUUGUAACCGAGCUUGUGACAGUAGUUCCCUGUAAAAUAUACAAGCUACCGGACCUACAAGCUUUCAUAACAACACGGGCACUUCUAGAAACUUUCAUAACUCCACCUUCAGUUGCGUAUUUACACCCAAAAGCCUAUAGGGUGCCUAAAAAGAUGAGAUUCUUUUUUAAAUCAGGAACAUGUCUAACAUUAGUGAGCGUCUUCAUUAUACCAUCAUGCAUUUUAAUUCGGAUUGUGCCUCUACCAACAAUAACACACGCGGCAUUAUUGCCCAUCAAAAUAAUUACACAAUUACAAGAUUCAUAUGUGGAACACAAAUCCUUAUUGGGACACAUGUGAUAAGAAAAACCCGAAUCUAAAAUUCAUUCAUUUUUAAACCUCAUCCUGCUACACUAGCUUCAGCGGGCUUAGUAGUUUUCUCAAUAAUUUUUCUCUUUUUCUUUAAUUUAUUUUUUAAUUUAAAGCAAUUAGCCUUAAUGUGCCCUAUUUUAUGAUGUAGAUCUACUAUUGUUAAAUUCCCUUUUAUCCGUUCUACCCCUGACAACCAAACCCUCAACCUGAUUCCCUCUACUUUCCCUAGUGAUAUCCCUAUCUAUCUGCUCCUUAGAUUUUAGUGCAAAUUUAAUUUCCCGAUACGAAAUUAUUUCUUUUCCAUAAAUCAUAGUAUAAUGGAAAUACUUAAAGGUUUGGGGAAGAGUACACAAAAGUAACAUGGCCUUAUCAUCGUCAUUAAUUUUCGCAUUAAUAUUCUCCAAAUCCAUAACUAAGGAAUCAAAUUUAUCAAGAUGUGAGAGUAUAGAUGUAACUCCACCAUCCUCUUUAUAUACAAUACUUUAAGUUUGUUCCAUAUGCUCUUAGUCGUAAUCUCCGUAGCUACCUCCUGUAAAACCUCGUCAGAGAGAUUUAGAAUAAUGCUGCUCCCUGUAGUGCCAAAUCAACUCCGUCUUGAACCAAAAUGACCUCCAUCUUGAGCUACCACAUGCCGAAGUUGACAUUUCUGUCGAAUUUCUCGAUAACGAUCUUUGUUAUUAUCAUCAUAUCCAAAAGAUCCCGAAACCAGGCUCUGAUACCAAUUUGUUAAAGCUAGCCUCAGAAAAUUUACCAAAUGGGUAAUUUGGCAAUCCAAUAAAGAUAAUAAAACAGAAAAAUAAAAGAGACUAGGACACCAUAUUCCACGGACGGAGGAGGAGCAAAACUCUAUUAUAAAAGAGAUAAUUACAUAAUAAGUAUGGACUUAAUAGAAAUUAAACCAAAAGCAAACAAUUAGGUUUUUCUUGUGACUUCAAAGCCCAGACCCUUAUUUAUAGUUGCAAUAGGAGAUAACAAGCUUGAUUUUCCCAGUGUGGGACUAUGUAAAACUUACCAAACUAACCGUGCAUAAUGUCACAUCAUAAAAAUGCAUGAUAAAUGAAGCCAUCCUUUGUUGAAUUAGGCAGAAAGCCUAAUCAAAAUGUACCGCCAAAUUUCUUAUUGAGCUCCCAGCAAAGAUUGAAAUUAGAAUAAUUAAGUCGACUCACCCGUUUCAUGUUAUUUUUCACAUGGCACCACCUCAACGCCACGUCAAAUAUAUGCUCAACGUGUCGACAACAUGACCCAUAUAUUAUCGAUAUAUGAUCACCACCUUAGCAACUAGCUCUUGUAAUUUGGGUUGAUUAGAGGACUAAUGGUCAAGAGAGCUCACAACUCUCCAUAUAUAUAUUCUUAGAGAUUUUUUUAAUAUUAUUUAAAUCAUUGAUCGAAUUUUGUUGGAAACGCCAUCGAUGAUGGGUUCGUUGCUCACGAGGUCAGAUAAGUUUGUCAAAGCUGAUAUUGAGCUCGACGGAGGGGGGAGGGAGAGCUUCUGCUCCACCUUGCGCUUGGGAUGCUACGAUGGGUUGAUCCCCUGCCGCCCAAUGUGGGCUCCCCGUGGUUGGGCGGAGACAUACUUCCACGGUUCGCGGCGGAGGGAUCGAUCGCACCACAUGGAUCGGCAAGCUGAACUCGGCAAUCAAUAGACUCUGCAAUGCUGCACCACAUACAACAGCAGCUCUAUAACAGGUUCUACAAGCUGAACUCAGCGGUGAUUCGGCAACGCUGCAACAACAGCUCUAUAACGGGUUCGGCAAGCUAAACUCGGCAUUUGGCGGUUCAGCAACAGCAGCGUCUCCAUCUUCUCCUUCCUGCCACUUACAAAGGUUCAGCAAUGGCAGCUCUACAGCAGCUGAACUCAGAGAGGAGUUCGUCAAUGGGGCAAACAAUAGUUCAGUGAGGCUACAACGGGAGUUCAACAAGGUAAUCGUGCAGAUCACAAGCCUUUUGUUUAGGCACAACUUGCAGCGGCAGCAAUAUAGAGGGCUGCCGUUGCGCCAUAUCACCCUUUGGUGGGAUAGAGUGGUAGCAGGUGUAGCUGGGCGGCAACACAGCGAGCUGCGGUUACCGGGAAUGGCUCAGUGAGUUGAAGAUGAAUGUGGACAUGACCAAACCACAAUAGCAGAUGACCAGUCUUCUGCAAGACAGCUCGUGUAAUCGACUCGGCAAGGUAUAUUGACAGCUUAGCCUACAUCUACAGGUAGCGUUCCUGGCCUCGGGUGUGUUCCAUGUCUCAGCGAGAUAACGCUCGAAGUUAAGUGACAUUUGCAGCUCGGAGAUCAGCGGUAUUAGGGAAGAAGCCAGUGAUAUCCCAGUUAGCCUAAUGUGGUCCUGACCCAGGUGUACAUUGAGUGAUGAGUCUGAGGUGCAAUCCAAACUUUUUGAGACCCGAAGGGGUGAGUCCACUAGCUCUAAGGUGCCCUAUAAGAAGAUUGAGGUUGAGGGUUUUCCCAAUGGGAUCCUUUUAAUGGUCAAGUUAGCUGGAGAUGAUGAAUAAUAAAAAUAAUAUGAUUAAUUAUUUUUAUCUUGAUCCUUGUGCCUAAGGCUCGGCUCUUCUUGGACUCUUGUGUACAUGAGCGAUAAAGGAGGCAUUCCCAAACCACUUUCCCUUUGACUCAUUGCCACCUCCGUAAUCUCUCCUUUAUCACUUGUCGAUCGAUAACCUCUCCUUUAUCAUUUGUCCCCUCCCCCUCUCAAGGUGUACUUCGAAACUCCUAUUAGGGGAUUCAAAAGUGUAUAAAUUGUGUUUACCAAAUGGCCAAAUGUUGAGCUAGAGAGUCGGACAUUGUAUCGAAAAAUUAUCAUAUCAUAAUUAGAUAUCGAACUAGAAGAUUGAUCGAUAUGCUGGAAGAAUGUACAAUAUACCAAAGGAUAUGAUGAUGUGUUGAAGGUUCAAACAAAAUGCUAAAAGAUCAGAUAACAUGCCAAAAAAGUAGACAGUAUGUCGAAAGCUUCAAAGAUGUUCUUGAUGAGUGGAUGAUGAAUCGAGGUCUUGAUUAUGGUUAGUUUGGGUUAGUAUUAUUUUGAAAUAGAGUCCACUUGUCAUAAAAGUCGUUCAACUUAAAAGCAACGCUAAAUUGAGGUUGUUAGAAGGCCAAACUAAUGGCCUAAAUUAGGCUUGGGUGAUGGUACCACUAGACCUAAGCAGUGGUAUCGCUCGAGUCAAUCAACUAACACUUUUUAAUAUUAUCAACCUUAUUAACGAUAGUACUGUCUUUGUCAAUAGUAGUACCACCUAGGGCAACAAUAGUACUAUUCAUAAUUUAAAAUUUAUGAAAGAGAUCAAACUUGUCGAAUUUCUAUCUUCUCAUCUUAGAAAUUUCACCUUCAUGUGUGGGUAGCUUAUGUCCUAUUCUUGGUUCUUUUUUCUCGUGUCUUCAGAUCGGUUUAAUGAAAGACUUAAAUUUUCAUCUUGUUGAAACUUGUUGAAGCUCUCCAAUAAACUCCUUUUGAAAUCGUUAAGGGUUUCUUAAAGUCAGUUCUCAAUUUUGGUUACAAAGGCUUCUAAUUAGGCUUUCAUUGAAUUGUCGGUAGUAUUAGGAAUGAGUCGGCACUAAGAGGGGGGGUGAAUUAGUGCAGCGGAUAAAAGUCGUUGGUUCAAAUUCUUCGUACGAUAAAAACUUAUUUUGUAAAAAUGCUUAAAUUGAAAGCGUACGGAAGAGUAUAGCAAGUAAGAAAGUUUGCAGUUAAAGUAAAUUGUUCAAAAGAAAUGCAAACCGAGUUUAUAGUGGUUCAAUCAUCGUGACCUCCAUCCACUCCCGAUUCCUCUUCCAUUGAGGCCACCGACAUCCACUAACGGUCUUCCUUCAAUAGGCGAAGACCAACCACCUUCUUACAACUCUAUUCUCCUUUUGACAUGCGCAGGAGAGAACUUUUACAACUCUCUUUUAGACCUAGACAUCUUUUCUCCCUUUAGAAGAACUUUCUAAAUACUAGGAAGAAUGGACUCUACUCUUUAAGAGAGAUUACAAUUUUUACUCAAGGAUUCUUUCUCCUUUUUUAACUCACUUUCUUACCUUGCUAAGCAAGAAAGAGUAGGGUAUUUAUAAGCCCCAAAUAGAUUCAAAUUUGGAGCCCAAAAUUUAAAUCUCUGAGAUUUUGGGGUACGGGCGAUACCACCGCUUGUAGCCUGACACUAAGCUGUACCACUACCCAGUCUAGCGGUACCACCGCCUGACAGCCUCGGAGAUUGAGUUUUUCGAGUUUUCUAACUCACAGGCAGUUCUACCGCCUGUUUUAGCAAUGCCACCGCCUGACCCAACUUUUGGGUCAUUGAAUGAGCCUCCUAAUUAGCCCAAAUCAACCUAAUUAAUGCUCAAUUGGUCCCCAAUUGAGUUAGCAUUAUUACACUAAAAGCUAACUCAAUUAGCCCCCUAAACUACUUCAAUCUUAGACAAAUGAUUACAAAGCAUGAAUCCUUUGACUGACAUGUCAUUGGUUCAUCCGGUGCUUGUCCGAUCCUUCGGCGCAUCGUCCUCUCCGUCGGCAUAUUACCCAAUCGGCAUAUUAACUCCUGCAACUUUCGAUCUCCUUGGCGCAAAGUCUGAUCCUUCAGCCCGGUGCCCGAAUUCACGACACGAAGCAUUCUAGCGAUACGUCGACCGAUCCUCCAACCCGACGUCCAAUCUUCUGACAUGUUCACUCCGGCCCAAUGUUCAAUUCCUCUUGCUUUAAUCAAUUUGUCUCUCCUUGAUCGAAGCUAGUCCUGCAUCACUCAAAACACAGAUUAGAUCAUAAACUCAUCAAUUGAUUUCAUCAUCAAAAUAUGAGAUUCUACAGGUAGCUAUUGUAUAAGACUACAAAUCUAUAAUCCCUAGUUCUUAUUUUCUGGUCAAGGGCAUCAGCAUUGCCUUAUUCAGUGCAACUUUCAAUGACGUCAGUCUGACACAACGUUGAGGACAAGACUAGAAGGCAAUGAUGGCGGUGUGGUUGGGAGUAGCUUCUCUAAGGGUUGCUAUCGAGGCUAGGAGGCUAACGUCAACCUGAGGCAACUAUAAAAGGGCUUCCAAUUUAUGUUUCCAAGAUUUUUUUUUUUCAAUGCUAUUUGAGUUAUAGGUGGAAUCCUCUAAAUAAAAAACUAAAGAACUUCAUUAAGAAUAUUUCGAUAUAAUCCUGUAGAAAUCAAUCUUUUUAAGGUUGAUAGGGUUUGAUCUCUUCAAACUCGGAUGAGUUUGAUAUCCUCAAGUUCAUACAAGUGCGAUGUCAAUCAAGAUUAAACUAUAAUAAAUACAGAAGGAACAUUAAUUGGCUCCGAAUCGGGCAAUAAAAUCAUGCACUAACAAUAUUCUCUCUUUUUUCUCGUAAAUACAUUUAUUUUAUCUUUUAUUACGAAGAAGAAACGUGUAUCCAAUAAUAAAAGAGACUCGGUUAUAAGAACACAUCCUAGUCGUUGAUCACCCAAUCGAUGGCGCAGAAGGCGGCCUCGAGGAAUUGCUCUGACGCAAGCGAUCACCUCACUCUCUAGAGAGAGUUAUAUUUUGUGCCACUCUUUUCACACGUACCCACAAAGCAACCCUUCAUCUCGUUAGAGGAACGAGUCGCACCCACUAGGACCCACCAAUCACGAGAAAGAUGAGUGAGCGAAUGCUACAUUCACCGCGAUCCUGUAAACCACGACGGAGAAAAAAACUGUCGUGGUAGCUGUCACCGUAAGGCGCUGCCCACAUCGUCAUCUUCUGCUUCACUGCCCCUCGAUUUAGAGAGUGAGAGAGCGGAGAGACAAAAAGAGAACGAUGAAGGCGGUGGUGCUGCUGGACUUCUGGGCGAGCCCGUUCGGGCAGCGAUGCCGCAUCGCAUUGGCGGAGAAGGGAGUGGAGUACGAGUACAGGGAGGAGAACAUCCUGGGGGCCAAGAGCCCGCUGCUGCUCAAGUCGAACCCCGUGUACAAGAAGGUCCCCGUCCUCAUCCACGAUGGCAAGCCCGUGUGCGAGUCCCUGAUCAUCGUCCAGUACAUCGACGAGGCGUGGCCCGACCACGCGCCGCUGCUUCCCGCCGAUCCCUACGCCCGCGCCCAGGCCUGCUUCUGGGCCGACUUCGUCGACAUGAAGGUGCGUUCUCCUUACGCCGAUGCCUCCCAUGUGUUCGACUCUUGUUUUCCUCUUCGGAUUACCACUGUGUUUGAUAGAAUCCACUUCCCGAUAUAUAUUUGCAUAAUCUAUUUUUUGAUCGAUAAACAAAUUCUAGAUUCUUCUGCUCACUCGUUAUUUGAUCUGCUCGUCCUGUAAGAACAAUUGUGCAGCACCCUUUAACGUUAUUCUUCACGUAUCAGUUCAAUGAAUGCGGGUCAAGGCUGUGGAAGCUCAAGGGCGAGGCCCAGGCGGCGGCCAAGGAGGAGUUCAUCGGGAUCCUGAAGCUGCUGGAGGGCGAGCUGGGGGACAAGAAGUACUUCGGCGGUGACGCCUUCGGAUUCGUCGACGUCGCGCUCGCCCCCUUCGUGUCCUGGUUCUACAGCUACGAGACCUGCGCCGGCUUCAGCAUCGAAGAGGCGGCGCCCAAGGUGGUGGCCUGGGGCAAAAGGUGCAUGGAGCGGGAGAGCGUGGCCAACGCACUGUCCCACCCCGACAAGAUCUACGAGAUGGUCGGCGUUCUCAAGAAGAAAUUUGGAGUCGAGUAGUCUGCAGUAGUAGUAGUAGUAGCAGUGACUGUGUGUUGCAUGGUGUUUGCCUUCUUUGUGUCUGAUGAGAUACACACUUGUUGGUGGUGUAUACCACUUGAAUAAUUGCCCUCUCUGUUAUCUUCUCGAAUAAUACUAUAUCACUUCUUGGUGGUGUCAUGGGGCACCUGCACCAUUCUUUCAUUAGAGAAUAGGAAGAAUUCUCUCGCUCUCUCUUAAUAUAUAUACACUAACGUGUGCUUCAUUAAAAGAUUAAAGAUCACUUGAGUUCUACCAUUAGCUUAACUCUUCCCAUCCAAGAGGAGCUCGAGUUACGUGUAAGGAAGUGGAAUUGCAUUAUCCUUAGUUUAUCAACAAUGGGCCAUUUAUUUUAGUGUAUGAUGUCACAUCAUAAAAAUGCAUGAUGCCCAAGUGUGUCACGCCAUUGUCUUUCAGAAGCCCAGCCGCCUUCGAGAAGUCAAGCCAUCCUUCGUUCAAAGAUGAUGAAAGCCUAAUCGAAAUGUAAUGACCAAUUUGUUCUUGUCCUCCGAGCAAGGAUUGAAAUGAGAAGCUGACUCACCUGUUUCAUAUUCUUUUUCUUUUUUUUUCUCGUAAAUAGUUUUUGGUCUUUUACUUCGAAGAAGAAACGUGUAUCCAAUAACAAAAGACUCGGAUAUAAGAGCAGAUCUUGGUCGUUGAUCGCCCAAUCGACGGCGCACAAGGCAGCUUCGAGGAAUUGCUGUGACGUUUGCGAUCACAUCACUCUCGACAGAGUUAUCUUUUGUGCCACUCUUUUGAUCGGUACCCAAAAGCAACCCCUCUUGUCGUUGGAGGAGAGAGUGUCGGCCACUGGGAACCACGAAUGGGUGAUGGAAUGGUACAUUCACCACGAUCCGGUAAAAAACACGCGCGAAAACAGUCGAGGCAGUAGCGGUGGCCACAACGCCUUCUUCUGCGUCACUGCCCCUCUAUUUAAUGAGCGAGAGAGCGGAGAGAGGGAGACGGAGAGACACAAAGUGAGAGCGAUGAAGGCGGUGGUGCUGCUGGACUUCUGGGCGAGCCCGUUCGGGCAACGGUGCCGGAUCGCGCUGGCGGAGAAGGGAGUGGAGUACGAGUACAGGGAGGAGAACAUCAUGGGGGACAAGAGCCCGCUGCUUCUCGAGUACAACCCCGUGUACAAGAGGAUCCCCGUCCUCAUCGUCGACGGCAAGCCCUUGUGCGAGUCCCUCAUCAUCGUCCAGUACAUCGACAAGGUGUGGCCCGACUGCGCGCCCCUGCUUCCUGCCGACCCCUACGACCGCGCCCAUGCCCGCUUCUGGGCCGACUUCGUCGACAAAAAGGUGAGUCCCAUUUUUUUUUGCUCACUGUUUGAUCUGCUCGUCCUGUAAGAAGAAUUGUGCAGAAUCUGUUUGUUCUCAGCACCCUUUAACGUUAUUCUUCAUGUAUCAGUUCCAUGAAUGCGCGAAAAGGCUGUGGCAGCUCAAGGGCGACGCCCAGGCGGCGGCCAAGGAGGAGUUCAUUGAGAUCCUGAAGCUGCUGGAGGGCGAGCUGGGGGACAAGAAGUACUUCGGCGGUGACGCCUUCGGCUUCGUCGACAUCGCGCUCGUCCCCUUCGUGUGCUGGUUCUACACCUACGAGACCUCCGCCGGCUUCAGCAUCGAGGAGGCGGCGCCCAAGGUGGUGUCGUGGGGCAAAAGAUGCUUGGAGCGGGAGAGCGUGGCCAACUCACUGUCCGACCCCGACAAGAUCUACGAGGCCGUGAACGUCUACAAAAAGAGAAUUGGAAUCGAGUAGUCUACGUUAGCAGUAGUGACCGUGUUGCAUGGUGUUUGCAUGCUCUGCGUCUCAUGGCGUUGUAUUUGCUCUCGCUGUUGUCUUCUUGAAUAAUCUACCUUUCUUGGUGGUGUUAUGUGGCAGAUGCAGCAUAUCUCGUUAGAAACCAGGCACAAUUCUCUCUCUCUCUCUCUCUUAACAUAGAUACGCCAACAUGUGCUUCGAUGAAAGAGUAAUUAUUGAUUAUUUCUGUAUUUGAGUACUGGUACUUAUCAAAUUUACAUUGAGAUACUCAUAAUUUAAAAAAUAAUAAUAAUAAUCUAUUUUAUUCUAACAUUAUCAUAUGUAUCGAAGAAAAACAUAACAUAUGUCAUAUGUUGGAUCGAUAUAAAAAUGAUUAUUUUUUCUGUUUCCAAUAAUUUUAUCAGUAAAACGAUAAUUUUUAACAUUCCACUUGAAUUCUACCGGUAGCUUAAGUCUUCCCAUCCAAGAGGAGCUUGAGUUACGUGUAAGGAAGUGGACUUCCAUUAUCCUUAACUCAUCUACAAUUGGCAAUUUAUUUUAGUGCAUAAUGUCACAUCAUAAAAAUGCAUGAUAAGUGAAGCCAUCCUUUGUUGAAUUCAUUAAACGAAGCAGAAAACCUAAUCAAGAUGUACCGCCCAAUUUCUUAUUGAACUCCAAGGAUUGAAAUUAGAAUAAUUAAGUCGACUCACCAGUUUCAUAUUAUUUUUCACAUGGCACCACCUCAACGUGUCGACAACAUGACCCAUAUAUUAUCGAUAUAUGAUCACCACCUUAGCAACUAGCUCUUGUAAUUUGGGUUGAUUAGAGGACUAAUGGUCAAAGAGAGCUCACAACUCUCCAUAUAUAUAUUCUUAGAGAUUUUUCUAAUAUUAUUUAAAUCAUUGAUCGAAUUUUGUUGGAAACGCCAUCGAUGAUGAGUUCGUUGCUCACGAGGUCAGACAAGUUUGUCAAAGCUGAUCUUGAGCUCGACGGAGGGGGGAGGGAGAGCUUCUGCUCCACCUUGCGCUUGGGAUGCAACGAUGGGUUGAUCCCCUGCCGCCCAAUGUGGGCUCCCCGUGGUUGGGCGGAGACAUACUUCCACGGUUCGCGGCGGAGGGAUCGAUCGCACCACAUGGGUCGGCAAGCUGAACUCGGCAAUCAAUAGACUCUGCAACGCUGCACCACAUACAACAGCAGCUCUAUAACGGGUUCUACAAGCUGAACUCAGCGGUGAUUCGGCAACACUGCAACAACAGCUCUAUAACGGGUUCGGCAAGCUAAACUCGGCAUUUGGCGGUUCAGCAACAGCAGCGUCUCCUUCCUGCCACUUCCAAAGGUUCAGCAAUGGCAGCUCUACAGCAGCUGAACUCAGAGAGGAGUUCGUCGAUGGGGCAAACAAUAGUUCAGUGAGGCUACAACGGGAGUUCAACAAGGUAAUCGUGCAGAUCACAAGCCUUUUGUUUAGGCACAACUUGCAGCAGCAGCAAUAUAGAGGGCUGCCGGUGCGCCAUAUCACCCUUUGGUGGGAUAGAGUGGUAGCAGGUGUAGUUGGGCGGCAACACAUCGAGCUACGGUUACAAGCAAUGGCUCAGUGAGUUGAAGAUGAAUGUGGACAUGACCAAACCACAAUAGCAGAUGACCAGUCUUCGGCAAGACAGCUCGUGUAAUCGACUCGGCAAGGUAUAUUGACAGCUUAGCCUACAACUACAGGUAGCGUUCCUGGCCUCGGGUGUGUUCCAUGUCUCAGCGAGAUGCCGCUCGAAGUUAAGUGACAUUUGCAGCUCGGAGAUCAGCGGUAUUAGGGAAGAAGCCAGUGAUAUCCCAGUUAGCCUAAUGUGUCCUGACCCAGGUGUACAGUGAGUGAUGAGUCUGAGGUGCAAUCCAAACUUUUUGAGACCCGAAGGGGUGAGUCCACUAGCUCUAAGGUGCCCUAUAAGAAGAUAGAGGUUGAGGGUUUUCCCAAUGGGAUCCUUUUAAUGGUCAAGUUAGCUAGAGAUGAUGAAUAAUAAAAAUAAUAUGAUUAAUUAUUUUUAUCUUGAUCCUUGGGCCUAAGGCUCGGCUCAUGGAUUCUUGUGUAAGUGGACGAUAAAGGAUGGGACAUUCCCAAACCACUUUCCCUUGGACUUAUGUCCAUCCGGUAAUCUCUCCUUUAUCAUUUGUCCCCUCCCCCUCUUACUUCUAAACUCCUAUUGGGGGAUUCAAAAGUGCAUGAAUUGUGCCUACCAAAUGGUCAAACAUUGAGCUAAAGAGUCAGACAUUGUAUCGAAAAAUUAUCAUGUCGUAAUUAGACAUCGAACUAGAGAAUUGAUCGACAUGCUAGAAGAAUGUACAAUAUAUCAAAGGAUAUGAUGAUGUAAUUAGACAUCGAACUAGAGAAUUGAUCGACAUGCUAGAAGAAUGUACAAUAUAUCAAAGGAUAUGAUGAUGUGUUGAAGGUUCAGACAAAAUGCUGAAAGAUCAGAUAACAUGCCAAAAAAGUAGACAUCAUGUCAAAAGCUUUGAAGAUGUUCUGGAUGAGUGGAUGAUGAAUCGAGGUCUUGAUUAUGGUUAGUUUGGGUUAGUAUUAUUUUGAAAUAUAGUCCACUUGUCAUCCAAGUCGUUCAACUUAAAGCAACGCUAAAUUGAGGUUGUUAGAAGGCCAAACUAAUGGCCUAAAUUAGGCUUGGGUGAUGGUACCACUAGGCCUAAGUAGUGGUAUUGCCCGAGUCAAUCGACCAACACUUUUUAGUAUUAUCAACCUUAUUAACGAUAGUACUGUCUUUGUCAAUAGUAGUGCCACCUAGGGCAACAAUAAUACUAUUCAUAAUUUAAAAUUUAUGAUAGAGAUCAAACUUGUCGAAUUUCUAUCUUCCCAUAUUAGGAAUUUCACCUUCAUGUGUGGGUAGCUUAUGUCCUAUUCUUGGUUCUUUUUUCCUGUGUCUUCGGAUCGGUUUAAUGGAAGACUUAAAUUUUCAACUUGUUGAAACUUGUUGAAGCUCUCCAAUAAACUCUUUUUGAAAUCGUUAAUGGUUUCUUAAAGUUAGUUCUCAAUUUUAGUUACCAAGGCUUCUAAUUAGGCUUUCAUUGAAUUGUCGGUAGUGUUAGGCAUGAGUCGGCACUAAGAGGGGGGGGUGAAUUAGUGCAGCGGAUAAAAGUCGUUGGUUCAAAUUCUUCAUACGAUAAAAACCCGUUUUGUAAAGAUGCUUAAAUUGAAAGCGUACGGAAAAGUAUAGCAAGUAAGGAAGUUUUUGUUAAAGUAAAUUGCUCAAAAGAAAUGCAAACCGAGUUUAUAGUGGUUCAAUCAUCAUGACCUUCAUCCACUCCUGAUUCCUCUUCCGUCGAGGCCACCGACAUCCACUAACGGUCUUCCUUCAAUAGGCAAAGACCAACCACCUUCUGACAACUUUAUUCUCCUUUUGACAUGCUCAGGAGAGAACUUUUACACCUCUUUUAGAUCUAGACAUCUUUUCUCCAUUCAAAAGAACUUUCUAAAUACUAGGAAGAAUGAACUCUACUCUUCAAGAGAGAUUACAAUUUUUACUCAAGGAUUCUUUCCCAUUUUUUAACUCACUUUCUUACCUUGCUAAGCAAGAAAGAGGAGGGUAUUUAUAGGCCCUAAAUGGAUUCAAAUUUAGAGCCCAAAAUUCAAAUCCCCGAGAUUUCGGGGUACGGGCGAUACCACCGCUUGUAGCAUGACACUGGGUUGUACAACUGCCUAGUCUAGCGAUACCAUCACCUGACAGCCUUGGAGAUCGAGUUUUUCAAAUUUUAUAACUCAUAGGCGGUACUAUCGCCUGUUCUAGCAGUGCCGCCACCUGACCCAACUUUUGGGUCACUGAAUGAGCCUCCUAAUGAGCUCAAAUCAGCGUAAUUAAAGCUCAAUUGGCCCCUAAUUGAGUUAGCAUUAUUACACUAAAAGCUAACUCAAUUAGCCCCCUAAACUACUUCAAUCUUCGACAAAUGAUUACAAAGCAUGAAUCCUUUGUCUGACAUGUCAUUGGUUCAUCCGGCGCUUGUCCGAUCCUUCGACGCAUCGUCCUCUCCUUCGGCAUAUUGCCCAAUCGGCAUAUUGACUCCUGCAACUUCCGAUCUCCUUGGCGCAAUGUCUAACCCUUCGGCCCGAUGCCCGAAUUUAUGACAUGAAGCAUUCUGCCGACACGUCGACCGAUCCUCCAACCCGACGUCCAAUCUUUUGACAUGUUCACUCCGGCCCAAUGUUUGAUUCCUCUUGCUUUAAUCAAUUUGUCUCUCCUUGAUCGAAGCUAGUCUUGCGUCACUCAAAACACAUAUUAGAUCAUAAACUUAUUAAUUGAUUUCAUCAUCAAAAUCUGAGAUUCAAUAGGUAGCUAUUGUAUAAGACUGCAAAUCUAUAAUCCCUAGUUCUUAUUUUUGAUGUCUGGUCAAGGGCAUCAGCAUUGCCUUAUUCAGUGCAACUUUUAGUGACGUCGGUCUAACACAACAUUGAGGACAAGACUAGAAGGCAAUGAUGGCGGCGCGAUUGGGAGCAGCUUCGCUAAGGGAUGCUGUCGAGGCUGGGAGGCUAACGUCAACCUGAGGCAACAUUGAGGGCAUGGUUGGGAGGCAAUGAUGGUAGCGCAGCUGGGAGCAACGUCACGAAGGGCUUGGAGCAUUGGCAAUCGGCGUGGGGGUUGCUAUGUCUUUGUCACACUAUGGGAUAAGACGGUGGCAACAUCGAGGGAUCAUGAGCGGUCGAGGGCUGAGGCUGCGACGACUACUAUCGAUGCUGGUGGCGAAGAAGAAGGAAAUAACGAUGAUCAAUGGCUACAGUGGAAGGUGGGAUGAGGGAUGAGAUGCUGGCGGCGCCAAGGGUUGAGGUUGCGAUGACUACUGUCGAUGCUGAUGGCAAAGAAGAAGGAAACAACGAUAAUCGACGGUUGCGGCAUAAGGUGGGAUGAGGUAAGGAUCAUGACUCUAAUACCAGAUGAUAAGACCCCUUGGAUUUUAUUGUACAAAAAGAGAAAAGAAAGGGGAUGGUCAUUACAAGAGGAUCAGCCUCCUAGGAUUUGCCAAAGGCUAGAAUAAUAUUUCAUAUAUGAUGAAAAGAAACAAAUAUAUCCAUAUUUAUAGAGUUCAGUCCAUCAAUAUUGGACUCCUAAUAAAAUAAAUAAAUCUUAAAUUAGCCCAUAUUCGACUUUUGAUGGACUAAAAAAUUUUAGAAAAUAAAAGGGAUCCUAACACAUGAGAAAAAUAAAAUGGCACUACAUCAACAUCACGUGAUUGUCAUAUCAACACCACAUGACCGCUACCUUAGCACCGCUUGACUAUCACCUAAGUAUUACAUAGUUGAUUUGUGAUCAAUAUUGUGAUAUGGUGGGCAUAUACCUACUAUAUGUGUACAUAUGAUUGAUAUAUGAUCAUCACAUGACCGAUUGCCUUUAUAAUAUGUAUUGAUCAUCGGAAAUAACGGUUCAAUAAGUCAACUAUAAAAGAGCUUCCAAUUUAUGUUUCCAAGAUUUUUUUUUUUCAAUACUAUUUGAGUCAUUGGUGGAAUCCUCUAAAUAAAAAACUAAAGAACUUAAUUAAGAAUACUUUCGAUGUAAUUUUGUAAAAAUCAGUCUCUUUUAAGGUUGAUAGGGUUUGAUCUCUUCGAAUUCGGAUGAGUUCGAUAUCCUCAAGUUCAUACAAGUGUGAUGUCAAUCAAGAUUAAACUAUAAUAAAUACAGAAGGAACAUUAAUUGGCUCCCAAUCAGGCAAUCAAAUCAUGCACUAACAAUAUUCUCUUUUUUUCUCAUAAAUACAUUUAUUUUGUCUUUUAUUCGGAAGAAGAAACGCGUAUCCAAUAAUAAAAGAGACUCGGUUAUAAGAAUAGAUCCUAGUCGUUGAUCACCCAAUCGAUGGCGCAGAAGGCGGCCUCGAGGAAUUGCUCUGACGCAAGCGAUCACCUCACUCUCUAGAGAGAGUUAUAUUUUGUGCCACUCUUUUCACACGUACCCACAAAGCAACCCUUCAUCUCGUUAGAGGAACGAGUCACACCCACUAGAACCCACCAAUCACAAGAAAGAUGAGUCAGCUAAUGCUACAUUCAUCGCGAUCCUGUAAACCACGAGGGAGAAAAAAACCGUGGUGGUAGUGGUCACCGUAAUGUCACGACCUUAGCUGGAAUUGCCUAAGUCGUGCUGCACCUUUGCGUGUCCGUCCGCAAAGGUCAGCCUCCCCGAAACCUCCCACGGUCCCUUAGGACCUACAAAAGAGAAAACGGGUUAGAGAAAGCGCCUCACUCGGGAUCCACAAGCAAACAAUCCAUGAAACACUUCAUAGACAAUGCAAAUUACAAACAGACUUUACAAGCUCAGAACAGUUACACAAUAAAGGGGUAAAAUGGUCCAUUACAGACCGAAAAUCUCUCACACAUGUCCACAUGACACAACCUUUAUUUACAAGCCUAAAGGGGCCACCAAACCCAUUAAAAUGGGACUAUUAAGCCUUUGGCAAUCCCUCUUUAUGCUGUGCAAAGCAUAAACAAAUAGAAAGACACGGACAUACAUAAGCAUUACAUCAAACACCCUGUUUCAAAGUUUGUCCGUGACAUUCUCCCCCACUCAUCCCUUCGACGUCCUCGUUGAAGCCUUUGUGGACACUGCAACUCUUCACCUAUGCUGAAUCUUCAAUCUUCCGCUCUAGCUACAAUGCGCCUCUUGGCUCCUAGCUGCUCUCCGCUGCUAUAGUUGAGUAGUCGAACUUUUGAUCCGCUAUGCUGUUUCAACUCACCAAUGACUUUGACUCUAGUGAGGGGUUGGCUGAGUUGUGUUGAUCCUUGUUGAUUCCUGUGGAUCCUCUAGCUAAAGGAAAAGACCAUCCUUACUAUGCGCCAGUCUCUCAAAUGCCUCAUGCUGCUUGAACUGGGUGGAUGCUUGUUGGAGCUUUAACGAGCAUCGCCUCGUAAACUUUUGAAGUUUUGAGUCCUUCCUCCACAGAAUUUGCUCAUCGACUCUUCUUUCACUUGGUUGUCCCUUCCAAGUAGGUUCGCAUCACUUCUUCUUCCGAUUGGCAUUUCGUUGGGAAAUGAAGCGAACAAUCUACUCUCAGUAGCACUGAUCACCGUUGGUGAGGAUUUGACAACCAUUGUCUUCUAUUAUCUCCGAAGGGUCUUUGAACUUGCGCAGAGCUCCUCUGCUAGAUAGAUAAGAGAAUUGGGAUACUCGGUUUCGCCCAUUCUCUUAAUAGUUGAGAAGGCAAAGGUUACUUGACUUCGCCCGCCUCCUCGAGGUUGUACUCCAUGCAUCGAGCUGGUUACUGGCCUUCGCCUGCUCUUUGCUCACACUUCUGAAGCACUUGAAGUGUUUGCACUCCUUGCAUUGAGUUAGUUACUGUGAUUCACCUUCUCAAUGCCAUUGAACUUCUGGAAUGCAGGAAGUUUUCACCCCAACUUGGAGUAAGUCUCUGAUAGUUUUGGUCACCUCUAGGAUUGUACCGUCUUCUCCAUCAACCCUACCGCCUACUCCACUGAGUAGCAAAGGUACAGCACCGCGUACUGCCUGCUUCGUUCCUUGGUCGUGCACUCUUGCAUGACCCGAAGUCCUUCACUUUCGGCAAUCUUGAUGAAAAGCUCGUUGGCACCGGUCUUACGAAGUUCCUAGGCCUCCGCCCUUCAGCCUUGUCUCGGUACAUGGAGUUUGCCUCUACGCGCUCCAUCUCCUCGGCCCCUUUCACGACCAAGCGCUCUCCAUCCAUGAGAGCAAGGGAUCGAUGACUUUCACGGAAGUCCCGCCUCUGCGGUACCCUGGCGCUGCGAUGCCCAUGGCCCUACUAUCCGUCGCCUCGUAUCUGCAUCCCUUUUCUUCACGAUCAGUAGAUAUGUCUCCGUGGCACUCCUCCGAGUCCAUCUCCAUUCUAACUUAUGCUUGAUUUUAGGUAGCUAAGUCCAUCUGGACUCAUCGUCGCUUCCUCGCCCUUUUCGACCCCCUACUUCAACACCUAUGUGUUCUCCAAGCAGAUCCCUUUGGUCGAUGGAAAGACAGACUACAACUCCCAUGCAUGGCCACUACCAUCACGUUGUAGGAUUUGCACCGAUUCUGUUCUCCUUAGCUUCCUUGGUAGCAACGUUCGCUUACUCGACCUUGUCGGGCUCCCUUAAGCGAAUAUGGGCUGGAGCAGUCCACCUCUCCAGCUGCUUCGAUCAUACAUCUGCAUGAUCAAGUCCCGCCCAUGGGACUCAUUAGUACUUGCAUUCGAACUUUUCCCUCGGUGGAACACAGCCCUCAUAUGCUGAUGACCAAGGUUUUCACCCGAUACAAAAUUCGAUGCAUGCACAGAAGACCCGCCUCUACGGUACCAUUGCCUUCACUCCUUGAAUCCAUAGCCCUUCUUGCCGUCGUGUUGUUCACCAAAGUGGAGCUUCCAGUAGCUCCCGAUCAUACCUCCGUAUGAUAAAGUCCCUCACGGGACUGGAUUCGUGUGUAUCACAUUGCCACGAACUGUUCCACCACGAUCCGCUGCACCAUGUCGCCUCCUGGUGACAUCUCCAUUGCAUUCUGAUAAUUGUGGGAUGAACUCGAAUUGUGAAACCCUCCAUGUGUGGCCUCUGCCAAUACAUCGCAGGGUCUCUUCCACCUUCGAUUUUGUUCGUUCCUUUGGCAAUCGACCUUCAUCCACCCGCUCUUGGGUCACACCUAGAUGAAGCACUGCUCUAGGACAGUCCGUCGCCUAGUAGCUCCCGAAGUCCACCGACUUCACUGCAAUUUGUGCACCAUUGUCUGGAUCCUGGGCCACUGCCCCUACCAGCACAAUCUCCGCUACGCACCGCUUCCUUCAAACAACUUGAAUGGCAACACUGUGGCAUAUUCUUCAAGAGUACCUGCUUGCGCGUCCUCUUACCUCGUGCUAAGGCCUCUUGAACCCAACUUCGCCUCCGCAAGUUGAGUCGCCUUAGUUCCUCCAUCAAAUGCUUCUUCGAGAUAAGGUGCAUGUGCCUCGAAGCUUCCUCCGUCUUUGGCACCAUGCAAGAUGAGUCCGCUCCAUCAGAAUGAAUGACCCAUGGAACAACAUGAUCCUGCUCUUGCCUCUGCAAGAGUUCAUGUCCUUGACCUCUGUCCAAGGAAAGCACUGUGCUUCUGCUCCACGUUCCAUCUUCUAUGCUGGCUCCCUUCAAGCGGCUUGGGUACUUCGCCAAGUUACACCCAAGUUGCUCCGCUCCUCGUUUUUGCAUUGAGUUGAUGGUGGCCCUCGCGCCCACCAUUCCACGGGUCAGCCCUCCCUUGAGUCCGAUCUCCAUAUCGACUAAGUGUGCCUUCGUUUGUGUUGCUUUGGGUCGCUCCCCCACUUGAUCUCGCAAUGCAUCCACCAAUGCAUUCUCUCAAGCGAGAUCAUGCGACGACCCCUCGCCGCUCGCUCGGUCCAUUGAGCUUCGUGGAGUUGUUGGGUUUUGAGGUACUCCUCAACAUGUGCGGUCUAUCGCACAUGAUUCUCCCUCUGGAGAGCCGAGACUUAUCCCUCCUGGAUAUCUAUCCCGUUGGAGCAACAUCUCUCUUCGAUUCGGAGACCACCAUCCCCUUGGACUACUCCGAUUUGCUGAACAAGUUGCGCAUUGUUCUGCCUCCUGCAAACGCACUUGCUAGAUUGCGACUCCACGUCAAUACAGCCCCCGCUGCACCCCUCAAGGCCUAGCAACAUGCUGAACUUGCUGCACAUUUCAGCCUCCUAGGGACGUAUCCUUCGCAUGCCGAAGAGAAAGUUUCAAUGCUCCAUGGCGCCGAGUUCCGGUCGCUUUGGGAUGGCCACGAAUAGUCCAUCGUCCGCAUACAAGCCCUUGCAUGAGUACCAAAUUCUUUGAGCUAGCAAUUCCCCUCACCUCUGUGAGCUUUGCACAACUCUUUCGGUCGCCGAACAACUCAUUCCACCUUGCAUGGUCUCGUCCUUUACCAAGCGCCUCGCUUGCCUUGAGCACCAUCAAGUGUUGUUGUCAACGUCGAGCCGUAGCUCGAACUCAGCUAUCCCAACCUUUGUGCGCUCCGCAUUCUUCCCAGCUUGUUUGUCCUCGUGGUGCCUCUUGCGCGAAGGGUUGGCCAUUCCUCUGAAUGCCAAUCUCGGAUGUCCGCUCCUCUGAGCGACUCUUUUUCCCUACAUCUCUAUGCUUGUUUUCUCCAAAACGGUCGCGCGCAUGCUGAUUGCCCUAAACGCAGCCCCGCUAGGUCCCCCACAUUUGCAUGUCAAGUGUUUCUAUGAGUGCUUGUCCCGCUCUGAUACCAUCUGUCACGGCCUUAGCUGGAAUUGCCUAAGUCGUGCGACACCUUUGCGUGUCCGUCCGCAAAGGUCAGCCUCCCCGAAACCUCCCACGGUCCCUUAGGACCUACAAAAGAGAAAACGAGUUAGAGAAAGCGCCUCACUCGGGAUCCACAAGCAAACAAUCCAUGAAACACUUCAUAGACAAUACAAAUUACAAACAGACUUUACAAGCUCAGAAUAGUUGCACAACAAAAGGAUAAAAUGGUCCAUUACAGACCAAAAAUCUCUCACACGUAUCCACAUGACACAACCUUUAUUUAUAAGCCUAAAUGGGCCACCAAACCCAUUAAAAUGAGACUAUUAAGUCUUUGGUCAUCCCUCUUUAUGCUGUGCAAAGUAUAAACAAAUAGAAAGACACGGACAUACAUAAGCAUUACAUCAAACACCCUGUUUCAAAGUUUAUCCGUGACAGGAAGGCGCUGCCCACAUCGUCAUCUUCUGCUUCACCGCCCCUCGAUUUAGAGAGUGAGAGAGCGCAGAGACAAAAAGAGUGAUGAAGGCGGUGGUGCUGCCGGACUUCUGGGCGAUCCUGUAAAAAGCAAGCGAGAAAUAAAUCGUGGUGGUAGCGGUCACCUUAAGGCGCAGCCCACAUCGUAUCUUCUGCUUCACUGCCGCUCUAUUUAGAGAGUGUGAAAGCGGAGAAAGAGAGACAGAGACGAGAUGGACAAAAAGAGAGCGAUGAGUGCGGUGGUGCUGCUGGACUUCUGGGCGAGCCCGUUCGGGCAGCGGUGCCGCAUCGCAUUGGCGGAGAAGGGAGUGGAGUACGAGUACAGGGAGGAGAACAUCCUGGGGGACAAGAGCCCGCUGCUGCUGCAGUCCAACCCCGUGCACAAGAAGAUCCCCGUCCUCAUCCACGAUGGCAAGCCCGUGUGCGAGUCCCUGAUCGUCGUCCAGUACAUCGACGAGGCGUGGCCCGACCGCGCGCCGCUGCUUCCCGCCGAACCCUGCUCCCGCGCCCAGGCCCGCUUCUUGGCCGACUUCGUCGAAAUGAAGGUGCGUUCUCCUUACGCCGAUGCCUCCCAUGUGUUCGACUCUUGUUCUCCUCUUCGGAUUACCACUGUGUUUCAUAGAAUCCACUUCCCGAUAUAUAUUUUUUUCUGGAUCAUUUUAUCUGUGACGCAUGCGAUGACCUCACUCUCCAGAGAGUUAUAUUUUGUGCCACUCUCUUGAUCGGUACCCAGAUUGCAAACCCUCUUGUCGUUGGAGGAGAGUGUCGGCCACUGGGACCCAUGAAUAACGAGGGAGAUGGGUGACGGAAUGGUACAUUCACCACGAUCCUGUCAAAAACAGGCGCGAACAAAAGUCGAGGCGGCAGCCGAGACCCCAUCGCCAUCUUCUGCGUCACUGCCCCUCUAUUUAAUGAGUGAGAGAGCGGAGAGAGACAGAGACGGAGAGACACAAAGUGAGAGCGAUGAAGGCGGUGGUGCUGCUGGACUUCUGGGCGAGCCCGUUCGGGCAGCGGUGCCGGAUCGCGCUGGCGGAGAAGGGAGUGGAGUACGAGUACAGGGAGGAGAAAAUCAGGGGGGACAAAAGCCCCCUGCUGCUCGAGUCCAACCCCGUGUACAAGAAGAUCCCCGUCCUCAUCCACGACAGCAAGCCUGUGUGCGAGUCCCUGAUCAUCGUCCUGUACAUUGACGAGGCGUGGCCCGACCGCGCGCCGCUGCUUCCCGCCGACCGCUACGCCCGCGCCCAGGCCCGCUUCUGGGCCGACUUCGUCGACAAGAAGGUGCGCCGAUGCCCUCCAUGUGUUCGAUCUAUGUUCUCCUCUCCGGAAUACCAUAUUCUUAGUUCCCUUUCAAUGGUUUUACCCAUCAGGUCUGUGAAUCUGCAUUGAAUCUGUGGAAGCUCAAGGGCGAGGCCCAGGAGGCGGCCAAGGAGGAGUUCAUCGAGAUCCUCAGGCUCCUGGAGUGCGAGCUGGGGGACAAGAAGUACUUCGGCGGCGACGUCUUCGGCUUCGUUGACAUCGCGCUCGUCCCCUUCACGACCUGGUUCUACAGCUGCGAGACCUACGCCGGGUUCAGCGUCGAGGAGGCGGUCCCCAAGCUGGUGGCGUGGAGCAAGCGGUGCCUGGAGAGGGAGAGUGUCGCCAACUCCCUUUACGACCCCGUCAAAAUCUAUGAGUAUGUCAAGACGAUAUUUGGGUAGUGAAUAAAGUCCCCGUAUAUAUAUAUAUAUAUAUAUAUAUAUAUAUAUAUAUAAUAGUUUCUCGAUUUGAUCUUCACGCUUAAGUUAAUAAUCUGAGAUCCUCAAAUAUGAAUUCCAGUAGCUCAAAAAGAGUUUUUUCUAUAUAUCUUAAAUAAAAAUAAAGUUUGAAAUUAACUUUCUUGUCGUAAAGUAUGAGAAUGAAGUUUGUGAUUGCUUUCCUUAUCAUAAUGAAUUAGAAUGAAGUUUGUGUUUGCUUCUUGUUGUAAAGUAUGAGAAUGAAGUUUGUGAUUGCUUUCCUUGUCAUAAUGAAUGAGAAUGAAGUUUGUGUUUACCUAUUUUGAAUCUUAAUCUACGGAAAUAGAUGGGUGAAAGGUGACUUAGUUCCCACAUGGUAAUCACAUGUUGAUAAUAGAUUCCCUAUCUACAUACUUCAAUGUAACUGUUCAAUUUUCAAGUCCAUAGACUUGACCAUCAAUCAAGAAAGUAUUUUGAAUUAAAAAAAUAUUAUAUAUCUAUUAUUUACAUAGUUGAUAUCAGAAGCAUGGUGGCAACUCAACAUGAUAUCAGGGCUCUCUUGUCCAUACUCAAAUUGAUAGCUAGGUUGGCCAUUGACAUCAAUCAAUGAAGCCACCCACAAUAAGAUCAGAUGAAGGUGCUUAUCAACACAACAUGUCCCAUCAACAAAUCUCCUAGUUUAGUCAUGUUAAUCAUGAAGCACUAUAUUCAUGUUAAUCAUGCGUUCUACCUCAUCAGCUCAUUGUGUGCCAUCGUACUCGAUCUUGUCAGCCCACUAUGCACCACCUCGCCCAACCCCUUCAACCCAUUGUGUACCAUCGUGUUCGACCUCAUCGGCCCAUUAAGCAUCAUCGUGCUUGCCCCCCUCGACCCACUGUGUGUCACCACGCCUAGCUUCGUCAGCUCAUUGUGUGCCACCAUGCUUGGCUUAGUCAAUCCAUUGGGCAUCGACGUACUAGACCCAAUCAGCUAACACACACCUCUAUCUAAGGUAACUUAGCCUUCAUCAACCAUAAUAUUUCCUCUAGCUUAUGGUAUCAACCGUUAAUAUAAACCAAGUGUUACUUCCCAACCUAAUUUCAUUGUUCUCCCAAAAGUUGGAGGGUAUGUGUUAUGAGAAAAAUGAAAUGACAUCAUAUCAAUACUAUAUGGUUGCCACAUUAACACCACGCGAUUGCUAUCCUAGCACCAUAUUAGUACCACCUUAGUGUCACACGACUAACACAUUAGUGACAUGUGAUCGAUAUUUGAUGCAAUAUGUGGUUGACAUAUACCCAACAUGUGUUUACAUAUGAUUAGCACAUGACCAAUACCUCAAUAAAUUGCCUCUCCUUAUUUGUAUUGAUCACAUAAAAUAACGAUUUAGAGGGUUUAUUAUAAAAGGGUUCCCCAUGUUUGUUUUGAAAGACUUUUUUUCUUAAUACUAUUUAAGUUAUUGAUUGAAUCUUCCAGAUAAAAAAUUAACUUAAGUAUCAAAGUAACUUUUGUCGAGAACACCAAUUUUACAAGAUUCAAUCUCUUCCAGGUUGAUAAGGUUCGACCUCUUCGGGAUCAGAUAGGUUCAAUACUCUUAAGUUCAAAUAAAUACGGUGUCGAUCAAGAUUAGACUAUGAUAGAUUAGAAGAAACCUUUGUUGGCCGGCUCUGAAUCAUAUAAUCAAAUCAUGUACUAAUAAUAUUUUUUUUAAUCUCAUGAAUAUUUUUUUAUCUUUUAUUGGGAAGAAGAAACGUGUAUCCAAGAGGUUCGGAUAUAAGAAAAGAUCCUAAUCGUUGAUCAUCCAAUCGAUGGCGCAGAAGGCGGCUUCCAGGAAUUUGUCUUAACUAAAGCAAUCACUGCACUCCCGAGAAACUCUUUUGAUCUUACCCACAAAUCAACCCCUCGUGUCAUUAGAGGAACGAGUUGCCCCCACUAGGACUCACCAAUCACGAGAAUGACCAGAUAACAACUGCUACAUUCACAAAAGACGCGAGAAAAUAAACGUGGUGGUAGCGGUCACCUUAAGGCGCAUCCCACAUCGUCAUCGUCUGCUUCACUGCCCCUCGAUUUGGAAAGUGAGAGAGCGGAGAGACGAAAAGAGAGCGAUGGAGGCGGUGGUGCUGCUGGACUUAAGGGCGAUCCUGUAAAAAGCAAGCGAGAAGAAAAUCGUGGUGGUAGCGGUCACCUUAAGGCGCAGACCACAUCGUCAUCUUCGGCUUCACCGCCCCUCUAUUUAUAGAGCGAGAGAGCGGAGAAAGAGAUAGAGACGAAGAGACAAAACGAGAGCGAUGAAGGCGGUGGUGCUGCUGGACUUCUGGGCGAGCCCGUUCGGGCAGCGGUGCCGCAUCGCAUUGGCGGAGAAGGGAGUGGAUUACGAGUACAGGGAGGAGAACGUCCUGGGGGACAAGAGCCCGCUGCUGCUGCAGUCCAACCCCGUGCACAAGAAGAUCCCCGUCCUCAUCCACGAUGGCAAGCCCGUGUGCGAGUCCCUGAUCAUCGUCCAGUACAUCGACGAGGCGUGGCCCGACCGCGCGCCGCUGCUUCCCGCCGACCCCUACUCCCGCGCCCAGGCCCGUUUCUGGGCCGACUUCGUCGACGUGAAGGUGCGUUCUCCUUACGCCGAUGCCUCCCAUGUGUUCGACUCUUGUUCUCCUCUUCGGAUUACCACUGUGUUUGAUAGAAUCCACUUCCCGAUAUAUAUUUGCAUAAUCUAUUUUUUGAUCGAUAAACAAAUUCUAGAUUCUUCUGCUCACUCGUUAUUUGAUCUGCUCGUCCUGUAAGAACAAUUGUGCAGCACCCGUUUGUUCUCAGCACCCUUUAACGUUAUUCUUCUUCACGUAUCAGUUCAAUGAAUGCGGGUCAAGGCUGUGGAAGCUCAAGGGCGAGGCCCAGGCGGCGGCCAAGGAGGAGUUCAUCGGGAUCCUCAAGCUGCUGGAGGGCGAGCUGGGGGACAAGAAGUACUUCGGCGGUGACGCCUUCGGAUUCGUCGACGUCGCGCUCGCCCCCUUCGUGUCCUGGUUCUACAGCUACGAGACCUGCGCCGGCUUCAGCAUCGAAGAGGCGGCGCCCAAGGUGGCGGCCUGGGGCAAAAGGUGCAUGGAGCGGGAGAGCGUGGCCAACGCACUGUCACACCCCGACAAGAUCUACGAGAUAGUCGGCGUUCUCAAGAAGAAAUUUGGAGUCG
rnacentral:lncRNA from 1 species